GGGGCGGAGCCAGCGUGUGAUUGACAGUCGUGAAACCAACGCAGGGGAAAGGUCAGGCUAACGGAGACGCCACCUUCGGUUGAACUGUAACAGCAUGUAGGAGCUAUGAUAAAAGGAUUCACAGUCAAGAGGAUAAACGUGAAUCACAUACAUGAGGAGGAAGUGCAGGUGAUAUGGAACGAUGUAACUGUCAUCGGGUCUUGGGGACAUCUGGUCUGAGUUAGGUACAGGACAAUAAAGGAGGCAGUUAAUCAACAGCAAAGGAUUACCUGAAAGAGAAGGAACUUUCUCAAAGCCUCUGGCAUCAAAGCUCCAGAAAGAAAGAAGCACCUUUUAAAGAUUAUCAAACAGGAAGGAGAUAAUGACAACCGGAAAACACAAUGUGCAAUUGGUUCCAAGGUCCUCUAAAUCCAUUAUACAAGUGGCACAAUAAGAAGGUGAAAAAUCCUCCAUUUAUAAUAGGCGACUUAGACAAGCAAGGCAUAAGCACCAACAUGUAAAAGGCCAGCUAGAGACUUCUUUGCCUUUCCCUGAGCAAGAAGAAAUUUCGACAGUAGAUGACCUUUGGACUUGAACUAUAACAUCAGCACUUCCCUGUGUCUCCAGACCAAAGACCUACCCUCCAGAUUUUGGACUUUCCAACCUCCAUAAUCACAUGAGCCAAUAACUAAAAAUAAAUCUCUUUCCAAAUAUAUAUAUACAUACAGACUCUAUUGGUUCUAUUUCUCUAGAGAACCCUGACUAAUAAAUGAGAUGUAAUAAACUGAA